CUCGAGGCCCGGGGCGACAAGCAAACAGGCCUAACGCACCAGCGGCAACACCCACAGAAUACUGAAAGCCAGCCUGGUUCCGACAGCUGAAGCCACAGAGGUCAAUGCUGAUCAAAACGUGGUCUUGUGAUGGAAUUCCAUACCGGCUCUCGGCAAGGAUUUCCGAGAAAGGAAUAUCGUCUGCAAUCUGAGUACAGGAGAUGCAGCUCUGAAUCCAAUAUUUCAGAAGAAUGAAGAUCCCCAGGACAAUUCAGUGCUGUACCAGUCCAAGAACAUCACACUGGAGCCAGUAUCUCUCGAACUUCAGCAAAUGGAUCUGUAUUUCAACACCAUUAGGACCAGACUGUUAUCAGCUACCUCAAUGGAAUCUUGCAGCAGAUAAACAAGGGGAUCAAAGUGACAAACACCGAGACAUACAUCAGCCUUUCAGAAAGGAUUAUUGCCAAACUUGAAGCCUGAAACUUCACUGGAAAGAACAACACUCUUGCUAAUGCAUUGAAGAAGCUGAGAUGUUACUAGAAGGUGUAAAGGCUCUACAACUGACACCUCAGAAGCAGGCGACUUUCCGACUUUCCGUGACACAGUCUCUGGUGAUACUGAAGAGGUCAACCAAUGGCUCUUAGUUCUACUGGUAAACAGUGAGAAUUCAGCAGCUACGACCACCAAGGCAAAGAGCAUUCUUGCAGAACUAAUCCUCAACACAAAACCAAAGAUUGAAAUGAGCGUCGACGAGAUCUUACUCGGGGAAGAUUUGACUAAGGAAUCCCUUAAAGAGUCCACACAACAGCUCAAUGAUUCACAUAACAACCUAGAUAUGGCUGCAGGGGAGCUGCAGGGUGUGACACGUGUAUUGACAACAUGCUUGAUGACCUUCUGGAGGUUCUGGAAGUUGAUGUGGAGAGUAUGAGGGACACAGGCUGUAUUGUCCAUUGGUGUGUAGGCCAUGAAAAGACUGGAGAAAUAAAUGUUUUCUUUUUAAAUCUUGCAGGUACUCGAUGUCAUGUUUGGGCUGAAAUGCUGAGUGGUACCACCAUUCACUGAAGCCACCUUUUCCCUCACAGACGAGAGACUUGUCCAGACAGUGACUGCAGUUUCCAGACUAGCACUCACCUGUAGCCUUACAAACUUCAGGACUUGUUUCUUGGGUGGAUGGAUUCAGAGAUGACCCCAG